GCGAGUAUGGCCCUCACGGGUCUAAUCCACCACAAACACCUUUGUGAACCAGUCAGGGGGACUCGGCCGUGAAAGCCCAGGCGAUUAGCGGAGGGGCCCUCCUUUGCAAACCCGUUUAGAAGUCUUGAAAGUACUUUUGUAUAAUCUAGUA
rnacentral:misc_RNA from 1 species